rnacentral:rRNA from 1 species
AUAAAAAGAAAUUAGUAUUAUAUACCUUUUGUAUCAGGGUUUUUUAAAAUUAUUAAUUAAUUAAUUAUCUCGAAUCAAUAAUGAGCUAAUUAAUUUAUUUUUGUUACAAUAAAUAAUUAACUAUUAUAUUGGUUAUGAAAUGUUAUCGUAUUUUGGGUUAUCUAGUUACUUAAAUAGUUUAAAUUAUAAUUAAUUAUUGAUUAAUUAAGUAGAAAAGUUAAUUUUUUUAUUUUUUGUAUAUAAUAUAAUUUAUUUUAUUAAUUAGGUUUAAUAUUAAUCAUAUUUAUAUAUUGUUAUAAAUAAUUAAUUGUUGUUUUUUUUUUUAUUAUGUUUAUUUAAGUUAUUUAAAUUAUUGUAAAAUUUUUAAAAAUAAUGAAUUAAUUAGUAUUAGAUUUAUGUUAUAUAUUUAACUUGUAAUUUAUUUGAUAGUUUAACAAAAACAUUUUUUUAAGUUGAUUUAAAGUAAGGCCUGCCCAGUGAUUUUAAACGGCUGCAGUAUUUUAACUGUACUAAGGUAGCAUAAUCAUUUGUUUUUUAAUUGGAGACUGGUAUGAAUGGUUUUACAAAUAAUUAAUUGUAAUAUAUUUAUUUAGUAAUUUUUAUUUUAAAUAAAAAUAUUUAAAUAUAAUAAAGGGACGAUAAGACCCUAAAAGCUUUUUAUUAGAUUAUUCAAAGUAUUAAUCAAGUAAUUUAGUUGGGGCAACGUAGAUAUUAAAUUUAUUUUUAAAAUUACAUUUAUUUGUGGUUAGUAGAUCUUUUAUUUAAAGAAAUAUAGAAUUAGUUACUUUAGGGAUAACAGCGUAAUAAUUUUAGAAAGGCCUUAUUAAUAAAAUUGUUUACGACCUCGAUGUUGAAUUAAAAUGUCUAUAUACUGUAGCAGGUAUAUUAGAAGGUUUGUUCAACCUUUUAUUUUUUACAUGAUUUGAGUUCAAA